AAAAUACUGAAUGUGAGUGGAGUAUGCAUACAGAUGAAGAAGACAUUGAGCCAUUUGAACAAAAUAACACCGAAGAAAAUGCAGCAAAUCCAUAAAAACCAAUAAAAAACCAUUUGAAUUCAGUCGUAGAAAUAUAUUGUUUCAGUCCAAAAGCAAUAGCAGCUGCUAAUAUUGUUGAUGUUUCGUCUGCAUUUCAUAUGUUUGUUAGACCAAUUGUAAAAAUUAUUUUGAAUAUGACGAAUUUAUAUGGUAUACGAAAAUACAAGAAUGAAUGGCAAGACAUUGAUAUGAACACUCUGCAUGCCUACUUUGGAUUGUUGCUGCUUUCUGGUGUAUAUCGGACGUACGGUGCAUGUUUGACUAAGCUUUGGAAUGAAAAAACUGGUCGGCCAAUAUUUAGAGCUACAAUGUACUUAAAAAUGUUCAAGCUUAUUCAUGGUUGCAUACGAUUUGAUGAUCGAACGUAUGUCCACUACUGCCUCUACUUCUGUUCGUGACAAAUUGGCACCGAUUCAAAAUGUGUGCGAUACAUGAAACUAUAACUUGAAAACAGUAUUCACGCCACGUAAAAACGUUACCGUAGAUUAGCAGUUACUUCCAUUUCGUGGGCGAUGACCGGCAAAAAUUGCAUAAAGAUUUGGUUUUUAUGCGACUCAUCAAACUGGUAUGCAUUCAACAAUACAAUACUACUCCUGAACGCAAUAUCAUACGGCAUCUUGUCAUGGAUUUGGUGAACUGACUUUCUGAUAGGAAUGUUACAUGCGACAACUUUUUCACAUCAUAUGAAUUGGCGGAGGAACUGAAUAAUAGGACUGAAAUUCCUUAUGUCUUAUGGAUAUGCGUCGAAAGCCAAUCCAUUCAACUGAAAUUGUGUAUGAACACAAAUUGCAAGCGGUUCUGUUGGCAUAUGUUUCUCGCCGUUACCGAUUGUUGUAAGCAUAAAUGAACAGGAUGAAAAGAAGAAACCGAACCUUAUCGAAGACUACAACAAAACCAAGAGUGGCAUGGGUACAAUGGAUGCAAACGAAAAAUCAAUCGCAGUAUUUUGUAACAUGCUCGAUGUUAGUGCGUUGAAUGCAUUUGUUACGUUUACUUCAUUGUUUCCGAACUGGAAAAAAAUAAAUCCAAUCACAAUAUUCGUCAUCGAGUUUUCAUUGAGGAAUUAGGAAUGGCUCUUGUGAGACAACACAUCACAAAACGUAAAAACCGAUGCUGCUGCUAUUUGCGAUGAAAUUCGCCCGAUUUGUCAUUUGCCAAAUACUACGAAAAGAGGCCGUUGCUACAUCUGCAUAUACUCGUACAAGAAGAAUAAAAAUGUUUUUACUACACGUUGUGACAAGUGUACCAAUUUUGUUUGUGCUGAUCAUCGUUAUAAUGUUUGCGAAAAUGUGCAAACAAAUGAAAAAUACCCAAAAAAUUAAUAUUUUUCUAUUUUUUAUUAGUUUUUUCAAGUGAAUCUUUGUCAUUUUUUGUUCAUUAUGAUGGAAAACAAUCUAAUAAAUGCGGGCGCAUACACAGGGA